CGUGGGGAACCUGCCCCAUAGUCUGGGAUACCACUUGGAAACAGGUGCUAAUACCGGAUAAGAAAGCGGAUCGCAUGAUCAGCUUUUAAAAGGCGGCGUAAGCUGUCGCUAUGGGAUGGCCCCGCGGUGCAUUAGCUAGUUGGUAAGGUAAAGGCUUACCAAGGCGAUGAUGCAUAGCCGAGUUGAGAGACUGAUCGGCCACAUUGGGACUGAGACACGGCCCAAACUCCUACGGGAGGCAGCAGAG
rnacentral:rRNA from 1 species